rnacentral:rRNA from 1 species
AUUGAACGCUGGCGGCAGGCCUAACACAUGCAAGUCGAGCGGGGUUUUUGGACCUAGCGGCGGACGGGUGAGUAAUGCGUAGGAAGCUACCCGAUAGAGGGGGAUACCAGUUGGAAACGACUGUUAAUACCGCAUAAUGUCUACGGACCAAAGUGUGGGACCUUCGGGCCACAUGCUAUCGGAUGCGCCUACGUGGGAUUAGCUAGUUGGUGAGGUAAUGGCUCACCAAGGCGACGAUCUCUAGCUGGUUUGAGAGGAUGAUCAGCCACACUGGAACUGAGACACGGUCCAGACUCCUACGGGAGGCAGCAGUGGGGAAUAUUGGACAAUGGGCGCAAGCCUGAUCCAGCCAUGCCGCGUGUGUGAAGAAGGCCUCGGUUGUAAG